AUUGAACGCUGGCGGCAGGCCUAACACAUGCAAGUCGAGCGGGGGUUUUUCGGACCUAGCGGCGGACGGGGUGAGUAAUGCGUAGGAAGCUACCCGAUAGAGGGGGAUACCAGUUGGAAACGACUGUUAAUACCGCAUAAUGUCUACGGACCAAAGUGUGGGACCUUCGGGCCACAUGCUAUCGGAUGCGCCUACGUGGGAUUAGCUAGUUGGUGAGGUAAUGGCUCACCAAGGCGACGAUCUCUAGCUGGUUUGAGAGGAUGAUCAGCACACUGGAACUGAGA
rnacentral:rRNA from 1 species